CCCGCAACGAUUUACCAGCUCUGACUCGCGCCCCACAAACGGAGGGAGAGGCCCCGUCAGGCCGAGCCAGGAGGCGGCCAGGCGUGCAAUUCAUGCUUCAGGAAAUUCACUUUGGCAGCUCUAUGGAGGAUGGAGGAGAGAAACGAAGCAGGAGACUCAUUGUGAGGCUAUUUUAAUAAUUCAACUGGGGAGUAAUGUUCCUGGACAAAACAUACCCUUUAGAAAAGUAAAUGAUAAGAUGAGGACAAAAAGGCCUUUCUUCUUAAAGAAAUGGAUUAAGGGCAAUAACAAAUUUACUUCUUGUUUCAUUUCCGUUAUUUCUUUCCCCACUCUCCUGAAAUGAUUGGUUAGCACAAGGAGCAGAGAAUCAAUCCAUACUCUGUUGCAUCUCAGCUUCAGAGGCUGCAUUCAGUGCACAAUCAUCUGCAAACAAAAAAGCACGCUCCAACACUCCCUCCGCUUUAGUUUUGGCUUAUCAAGUCUUUUCAAGUUGAAGAUUUACCCUAAGGGCUGAAGCUGACUUUGAUUACAUGUUUGUCCCCAUCAAAGGUGUUUGCCAACAUGGCAGAAAUCUUCAUGCUACAAAGCAUGGGAGCAAGCACACAGCUUGUGUCACUGCCCUGGUGACCAGGAAAGCUCCAGAGCAUCGUCCAUUGCCCAGAGCCUGGGCAAGCCUCCUGUCAUGAAACUGACCUACUGUACUGGAGAACUUCUCUGAGUAACCAAAUCUUGACAGUUUUCCAUAAACCCUUAUGACUGACAGUAUCAAAGGCCCAGUCAGUGCACAAAUGUUGUGUACAGACCUCUUCUGCUCCUGGCAGAACAAGCAUUCCAACUCCCACAGCCCUGCUGGGCCGGUCACAUCAUUCAAAGGCUAAAUGUAUCCUUGCCAAAAAGAUUAUUUUAUGGAGAACUCACACAGGGCAAGCACCCACAAGGUGGUCACAAAAAGUGAUACAAGGACCCUCUCAAGGCCUAAGAAUUUCAGAAUCAGUUGUAUGGGGGGCUCAGGGCCACUCAGCACGACGGGCCCUCAUCAGAGAAGGUCUGCACUCCAUGAGCAAAGCAGAAGGGAGUUAGCCCAGAAGAAACUCAAGAGGCAGUUAGAGAAGCCGCCCCAAACGUUCAUAGGGACUAUUUGUGUCCAACCUGGGCAGAGCAUCCUGAGCUUGUACUGGUCUGAUCAGCCACAGUUGUAACUCAUAACAUAGUGAUGUCAUUUUGGUCCUCUUAGAGAAUGAAAGACAACCAACCAAAGAGAUGGCUACUGGGACCCACUAUCCAUUGAGAAAGGAUUAAAAUAGUGAUCAAAGGAAGAAUACCACUUUGCUUGCAUAAAGAAUGAAGUGAAGUGAUUUUAUUACUCUUAUUACUUUAAACUGUUGAUCUAAAAUUGUAUUUUCACAUAUUAGUAUAUUUUCUUUUAAGAUUCCAAUAAAAUUUACCAUCUUGGGGACAGAUAAUGAUGUUAGAUGGCAUGGACAAGCCAGAAAUGGCUUAGAUACUAAUAUUAAAUAAAAUUGUUUCUGCCAGCCUCUUUCUUUAUUUUAUCUUUAACAUUAUGGAUUCUUUGAAAUUUGCUAGAUAAGAUGAACCCCUGUUUUAUCCACUUUGAGCCUCUUAGGGUAACAAACCACCUA